AUGCUCCAGCUGGGGGCUGAAAUGAAGGGGGAGAAGGGCGACCGAGGCGAUGUCGGGCAGAAAGGAGAGAGAGGAGAGCCCUGGGGGAGUGGCUUCUUUGGCUCCAGCGUACCUGGACCCCCCGGCCCGCCGGGCUACCCUGGGAUCCCGGGUCCUAAAGGAGAGAGCAUCAGGGGCCAGCCCGGCCCACCUGGACCUCAGGGACCCCCUGGCAUCGGCUACGAGGGGCGCCAGGGGCCUCCUGGGCCCCCAGGCCCUCCAGGGCCCCCAGGCCCUCCUUCCUUUCCUGGCCCUUACAGGCAGAGUAAGUCUAGUGGGCAGUGGGCCUGAGCUCCAGCCUUGUCCAG
rnacentral:lncRNA from 1 species